GAUCAUGGCUCAGGACGAACGCUGGCGGCGUGCUUAACACAUGCAAGUCGAACGAGAGGAGAAGGAAGCUUGCUUCUUUCAAAUCUAGUGGCAAACGGGUGAGUAACACGUAAACAACCUGCCUUCAGGAUGGGGACAACANACGGAAACGACUGCUAAUACCGAAUACGUUCCUUAGGUCGCAUGACUUUAGGAAGAAAGGGUGGCCUCUACUUGUAAGCUAUCGCCUGAAGAGGGGUUUGCGU
rnacentral:rRNA from 1 species